rnacentral:rRNA from 1 species
UACAGAGGGUGCGAGCGUUGUCCGGAAUCACUGGGCGUAAAGGGCGCGUAGGCGGCUUGAUAAGGUUGCGGUGAAAGCCCGGGGCUCAACCCCGGGUCGGCCGUGGCAACUGUCGAGCUGGAGCACUGUAGAGGCAGGUGGAAUUCCAGGUGUAGCGGUGGAAUGCGUAGAGAUCCGGAAGAACACCGGUGGCGAAGGCAGCUCGCUGGGACGGAACUGACGCUAAGGCGCGAAAGCGUGGGGAGCGAACAGG